rnacentral:rRNA from 1 species
CGUAGGUGGCAAGCGUUGUCCGGAUUUAUUGGGUUUAAAGGGUGCGUAGGCGGUCUACUAAGUCAGUGCUGAAAUACUCCAGCUUAACUGGAGGGGUGGCAUUGAUACUGAUGGACUUGAGUACAGAUGAGGUAGGCGGAAUUGACGGUGUAGCGGUGAAAUGCAUAGAUAUCGUCAAGAACACCGAUAGCGAAGGCAGCUUACUGGGCUGUAACUGACGCUGAUGCACGAAAGUGUGGGGAUCAAACAGGAUUAGAUACCCUGGUAGUCCACACUGUAAACGUUGAUUACUCGCUGUUUGCGAUACACAGCAAGCGGCUUAGCGAAAGCGAUAAGUAAUCCACCUGGGGAGUACGCCGGCAACGGUG